AGAGUUUGAUCAUGGCUCAGGACGAACGCUGGCGGCGUGCCUAACACAUGCAAGUCGAGCGGGGAUGUACUGAAAGCUUGCCGGAUGUACAUCCUAGCGGCGGACGGGUGAGUAACGCGUGGGCAACCUGCCUUCUACUGGGGGAUAACACAGGGAAACUUGUGCUAAUACCGCAUAAUAUCACAUGGGGCAUCCUGUGUGAUCAAAGGAGCAAUCCGGUGGAAGAUGGGCCCGCGUCCGAUUAGCUAGUUGGUGAGGUAACGGCUCACCAAGGCGACGAUCGGUAGCCGGACUGAGAGGUUGGCCGGCCACAUUGGGACUGAGACACGGCCCAGACUCCUACGGGAGGCAGCAGUGGGGAAUAUUGCGCAAUGGGGGAAACCCUGACGCAGCGACGCCGCGUGAAGGAAGAAGGCCUUCGGGUUGUAAACUUCUUUGAUGAGGGACGAACGAAAUGACGGUACCUCAAAAACAAGCCACGGCUAACUACGUGCCAGCAGCCGCGGUAAUACGUAGGUGGCGAGCGUUGUCCGGAAUUACUGGGUGUAAAGGGCGUGUAGGCGGGGAUGCAAGUCAGAUGUGAAAUUCCGAGGCUCAACCUCGGCGCUGCAUCUGAAACUGUGUCUCUUGAGUGUCGGAGAGGAAAGCGGAAUUCCCAGUGUAGCGGUGAAAUG
rnacentral:rRNA from 1 species